UACGUAGGCAGCGAGCGUUGUUCGGAGUUACUGGGCGUAAAGGGUGUGUAGGCGGUUGUUUAAGUUUGGUGUGAAAUCUCCCGGCUUAACUGGGAGGGUGCGCCGAAAACUGGAAGGCUUGAGUAUGGGAGAGGUAAGCGGAAUUCCUGGUGUAGCGGUGAAAUGCGUAGAUAUCAGGAGGAACACCUGCGGUGUAGACGGCUUACUGGACCAUAACUGACGCUGAGGCACGAAAGCGUGGGUAGCAAACAGG
rnacentral:rRNA from 1 species